AGUCCCUCUAUCAUGAGUUCCGACUAGAUGGUAGGUCAUGGAUAAAUCAUCAAACCUCAACAUCAGUCAUGUGAUAGAUUUGAUUAGCUCAAGUCCAGUUGCGACUUCUAUGAAAACUCUUUUCCAUCAAUCACACUACUGUGACUACAGAUUCUUGAACUUAGCCUCUCAAAUCUCAUAGGACUACUUCUUUCUACCAAGAUCGAUAGAUCUCAUCUUGAUGCACAC
rnacentral:lncRNA from 1 species